rnacentral:rRNA from 1 species
GACGCCGGCGGUGUGCUUCACACAUGCAGGUCGAACGAGGUAGCAAUACCUAGUGGCGGACGGGUGAGUAACGCGUGGGAAUCUGCCUUUAGAUGGGGGAUAACGGGUCGAAAGACUCGCUAAUACCGCAUAUGACGAAAGUUGAAAGGAGUAAUCCGUCUAAAGAUGAGCCCGCGUCCGAUUAGCUAGUUGGUAGAGUAAAAGCCUACCAAGGCGACGAUCGGUAGCUGGUCUGAGAGGAUGAUCAGCCACAAUGGGACUGAGACACGGCCCAUACUCCUACGGGAGGCAGCAGUGGGGAAUUUUACGCAAUGGGCGAAAGCCUGACGUAGCGACACCGCGUGAGCGAAGAAGCCCCUUGGGGUGUAAAGCUCUGUCAGCUGGAACGAAAAAAUGACGGUACCAGCAGAGGAAGCAUCGGCUAACUACGUG